rnacentral:rRNA from 1 species
ACACGGCCCAGACUCCUACGGGAGGCAGCAGUGAGGAAUAUUGCGCAAUGAGCGAAAGCUAGACGCAGCAACGCCGCGUGGGUGAAGAAGGCCUUCGGGUCGUAAAACCCUUUUCUGAGGGAAGAGCAAGGACGGUACCUCAGGAAUAAGUCUCGGCUAACUAUGUGCCAGCAGCCGCGGUAAGACAUAGGAGGCGAGCGUUAUCCGGAUUUAUUGGGCGUAAAGUGCGUUGAGGCGGUCUCGUAAGUUGGACGUGAAAGCUCUUGGCUUAACUGGGAGAGGUCGUUCAAUACUGCGAGGCUUGAGGGCAGUAGAGGGGGGUGGAAUUCCCGGUGUAGUGGUGAAAUGCGUAGAUAUCGGGAGGAACACCAGUGGCGAAGGCGGCCCCCUGGACUGUUUCUGACGCUGAAGGCGAAAGCUAGGGUAGCAAACGGGAUUAGAAACCCCGGUAGUCCUAGCCGUAAACGAUGGAUACUAGGCGUGGGAGGUUAAAAAUCCUUCUGUGCCGGAGCAAACGCGUUAAGUAUCCCGCCUCGGGAGUACGGCCGCAAGGCUAAAACUCAAAGGAAUUGACGGGUCUCCGCACAAGCAGCGGAGCGUGUGGUUCAAUUCGAUAUAACGCGAAGAACCUUACCAGGGCUUGACAUGCAGGUAGUAGUGAAGCGAAAGCGGAACGAUCCUUAGGGAAGCCUGCACAGGUGCUGCAUGGCUGUCGUCAGCUCGUGCCGUGAGGUGUUCCCUUAAGUGGGGUAACGAGCGCAACCCUUACUGUUAGUUACAAGUGUCUAGCGGAACUGCCCGGUCAAACUGGGAGGAAGGUGGGGAUGACGUCAAGUCAGCAUGGCCUUUAUGUCCUGGGCUACACACACGCUACAAUGGCCGGUACAAUGGGUAGCCAAACCGCGAGGUGGAGCCAAUCCUACAAAGCCGGUCUCAGUUCGAAUUGCAGGCUGCAACUCGCCUGCAUGAAGUUGGAGUUGCUAGUAACCGCAGGUCAGCACACUGCGGUGAAUACGUUCCCGGAAUUGUACACACCGCCCGUCACGUCAUGGGAGCUGGUAACACCUGAAGCCAGUGGGCUAACCGAAAGGGGGCAGCUGUCGAAGGUGGGACUGGUGACUGGGACGAAGUCGUAACAAGGUAGCUGUAGCGGAAGCUGCGGCUG